rnacentral:lncRNA from 1 species
UCAUUUGGGUGAUUUCUUGAUACUCUAGGACUUUUGAAUCUAGUCAUUUAGCAAGUUGGUUUUGGUUUUUUCUUCUUUACAAAAUAUUUUUAUUUUUGUUACCCUUAUGUUUAUGGUUUAGAUUUCUUUGGCCUUAUCAAGCUUUUCUUAUUUUGUCUUCAACAAAGUUAAAUCCAGCAUAUAAAACAAGAUUUCUACAAACUGGGUAUCUUUUUAAUACUUUGUUUCCAAAGGAUGCAAGGUGUUGUAAACCGACUGUCCAAGUUACUGAAACCUGGGGGAAUGCUGUUAUUUCGAGACUAUGGAAGAUAUGAUAAGACUCAGCUUCGUUUUAAAAAGGGACAUUGUUUAUCUGAAAAUUUUUAUGUUCGAGGAGAUGGUACCAGAGCAUAUUUCUUUACAAAAGGGGAAGUCCACAGUAUGUUCUGCAAAGCCAGUUUAGAUGAAAAGCAAAAUCUGGUUGAUCGCCGCUUACAAGUUAAUAGGAAAAAACAAGUGAAAAUGCACCGAGUGUGGAUUCAAGGCAAAUUCCAGAAACCAUUGCACCAGACUCAGAAUAGCUCCAAUAUGGUAUCUACACUCCUUUCACAAGACUGAACUUUGUAACAUGUUAAGGUACAAAGCCAGAGGACUGUGCUAUUCAAGGACUACUGUAAGUCUAUUGUUUCUCAAAAGACAAUGAGAAAAAAAGAAGAGAAUUUGUAUUUCCUGCCGUUUUGUCAUAGGUGAGCUCCUUUGUGCAUU